UAAAGUUAUUAUUUUCAAAGUUUAACAUGAAAGGAUUGCUACACGGUUUUUGGACUAGAGUGCAACCAGGUGCCCAGAGAGAUUUGUUAUGAGUAUACACGAACUGAUUGCAAAAAUAAAGAUAAAGAGGUUUGUAGUCGAAUCCCUGUAAAAGAGUGCAAAGAUGUUCCGGGAUCUAUUUGUACAACUUUUAACAGGAAAUCCAAAAUUAAAAUAAUUUAAA